rnacentral:rRNA from 1 species
GACGAGGGGUCCUAGCGUUGUUCGGAAUCACUGGGCGUAAAGCGUUUGUAGGCGGCCUUGCAAGUCGGGUGUGAAAUCCCACGGCUCAACCGUGGAAGUGCAUUCGAAACUGCAGGGCUUGAAUAUGGAAGAGGAGAGCAGAAUUCCAGGUGUAGUGGUGAAAUACGUAGAUAUCUGGAGGGAUACCGGUGGCGAAGGCGGCUCUCUGGUCCAAUAUUGACGCUGAGAAACGAAAGCGUGGGGAUCAAACAGG